rnacentral:rRNA from 1 species
GUACACGCUGUGACUAGCAUAUCAAUAAGCGGAGGAAAAGAAACUAACAAGGAUUCCCCUAGUAACGGCGAGUGAAGCGGGAAGAGCUCAAAUUUGAAAUCUUAAAGGGUUUCCCUUUACGAAUUGUAGUUUAAAGAAGUGUUUUCUGUUGAGGUUUUGGUAAAAGUUCUUUGGAAUAGGACAUCCUAGAGGGUGAGAAUCCCGUAUUUGACCUUUACUUUCAACUUUGUGAUACACUUUCAAAGAGUCGGAUUGUUUGGGAAUGCAGUCCAAAAUGGGUGGUAAAUUUCAUCUAAAGCUAAAUAUAUGGCGAGAGACCGAUAGCGAACAAGUACCGUGAGGGAAAGAUGAUAAGGAACUUUGAAAAGAGAGUUAAACAGUACGUGAAAUUGUCAAAAGGGAAGCGUUUGACACCAGUGUUGUUUUUCUGAAAAUCAAUUAAAGAACUGUUUAUGCUAAGUUGUUUAGACUUUAUCAGCUAACUGUUUAGUUUUGAGCUUUUCUUUAAUGCACUUUUCAGUUAACAAGUCAACAUCAAUUUCUUUUGCUGUAAAAAAGCUUGAGGAAGGUGGCUUGAGAUUCGUCUUAAGUGUUUAUAGCCUCUUGCCUAUGCAGUCGGAGAGAUUGAGGUCUGCAGCGUAGAUCCUUCGGGGCUAAAUGCAUUUGUGCUAAGUUAUAGCAUUUUAUAGACAACUUGUUGACUAUGAUUUGUCUUGUAGCUUACUCGCUUAUGUUAUUUUACCUACGCUUAGGAUGUUGAAGAUGUAGCACAUCAU